AAGGAUUCCCCUAGUAACUGCGAGUGAAGCGGGAAAAGCUCAAAUUUAAAAUCUGGUAGUCUUUGGCUAUCCGAGUUGUAAUCUAGAGAAGCGUUAUCCGCGCUGGACCGUGUAUAAGUCUCCUGGAACGGAGCGUCAUAGAGGGUGAGAAUCCCGUCUUUGACACGGACUCCCAGGGCUUUGUGAUGUGCUCUCAAAGAGUCGAGUUGUUUGGGAAUGCAGCUCUAAAUGGGUGGUAAAUUCCAUCUAAAGCUAAAUAUUGGCGAGAGACCGAUAGCGAACAAGUACCGUGAGGGAAAGAUGAAAAGAACUUUGGAAAGAGAGUUAAACAGUACGUGAAAUUGUUGAAAGGGAAACGCUUGAAGUCAGUCGCAUUGAUCAGGGAUCAACCUUGCUUUUUUGCUUGGUGUACUUCCUGGUUUAAUGGGUCAGCAUCAAUUUUGACCAGUGGAAAAAGAUUAAGGGAAUGUGGCAUCUUCGGAUGUGUUAUAGCCUUUGGUUGCAUACAUUGGUUGGGAUUGAGGAACUCAGCACGCCGCAAGGCCGGGUUUUUAACCACGUUCGUGCUUAGGAUGCUGGCAUAAUGGCUUUAAUCGACCCGUCUUGAAACACGGACCAAGGAGUCUAACAUGCCUGCGAGUGUUUGGGUGGAAAACCCAAGCGCGUAAUGAAAGUGAAAGUUGGGAUCCCUGUCGUGGGGAGCACCGAUGCCCGGACCAGACCUUCUGUGACGGAUCCGCGGUUGAGCAUGUAUGUUGGGACCCGAAAGAUGGUGAACUAUGCCUGAAUAGGGUGAAGCCAGAGGAAACUCUGGUGGAGGCUCGUAGCGAUUCUGACGUGCAAAUCGAUCGUCGAAUUUGGGUAUAGGGCGAAAGACUAAU
rnacentral:rRNA from 1 species